rnacentral:rRNA from 1 species
GAUGAACGCUGGCGGCGUGCCUAAUACAUGCAAGUCGAGCGAACAGACGAGGAGCUUGCUCCUCUGAUGUUAGCGGCGGACGGGUGAGUAACACGUGGAUAACCUACCUAUAAGACUGGGAUAACUUCGGGAAACCGGAGCUAAUACCGGAUAAUAUCUUGAACCGCAUGGUUCAAUAGUGAAAGACGGUUUUGCUGUCACUUAUAGAUGGAUCCGCGCCGCAUUAGCUAGUUGGUAAGGUAACGGCUUACCAAGGCAACGAUGCCUAGCCGACCUGAGAGGGGGGUCGGCCCACCCGGAACUUGGCCCCGGUCCCAGCCCCUUACGGGGGCCGCCGGAGGGAAUUUUCCGGAAUGGGGCAAAGCCUGGCGGGACAACCCCCGGGUGGUUAUUAAGGUCUUCCGAUCGUAAAACCUUUUUAUUAGGGAAGAACAUAUGGGGAAGGUAAUGAUCACCGCUUGACGGUAACUAAUCCGAAAGGCCCGGCUAACUACGUG